rnacentral:rRNA from 1 species
CGAAUGCUGACAUAAGUAACGAUAAAGCGGGUGAAAAGCCCGCUCGCCGGAAGACCAAGGGUUCCUGUCCAACGUUAAUCGGGGCAGGGUGAGUCGACCCCUAAGGCGAGGCCGAAAGGCGUAGUCGAUGGGAAACAGGUUAAUAUUCCUGUACUUGGUGUUACUGCGAAGGGGGGACGGAGAAGGCUAUGUUGGCCGGGCGACGGUUGUCCCGGUUUAAGCGUGUAGGCUGGUUUUCCAGGCAAAUCCGGAAAAUCAAGGCUGAGGCGUGAUGACGAGGCACUACGGUGCUGAAGCAACAAAUGCCCUGCUUCCAGGAAAAGCCUCUAAGCAUCAGGUAACAUCAAAUCGUACCCCAAACCGACACAGGUGGUCAGGUAGAGAAUACCAAGGCGCUUGAGAGAACUCGGGUGAAGGAACUAGGCAAAAUGGUGCCGUAACUUCGGGAGAAGGCACGCUGAUAUGUAGGUGAAGUCCCUCGCGGAUGGAGCUGAAAUCAGUCGAAGAUACCAGCUGGCUGCAACUGUUUAUUAAAAACACAGCACUGUGCAAACACGAAAGUGGACGUAUACGGUGUGACGCCUGCCCGGUGCCGGAAGGUUAAUUGAUGGGGUUAGCGCAAGCGAAGCUCUUGAUCGAAGCCCCGGUAAACGGCGGCCGUAACUAUAACGGUCCUAAGGUAGCGAAAUUCCUUGUCGGGUAAGUUCCGACCUGCACGAAUGGCGUAAUGAUGGCCAGGCUGUCUCCACCCGAGACUCAGUGAAAUUGAACUCGCUGUGAAGAUGCAGUGUACCCGCGGCAAGACGGAAAGACCCCGUGAACCUUUACUAUAGCUUGACACUGAACAUUGAGCCUUGAUGUGUAGGAUAGGUGGGAGGCUUUGAAGUGUGGACGCCAGUCUGCAUGGAGCCGACCUUGAAAUACCACCCUUUAAUGUUUGAUGUUCUAACGUUGACCCGUAAUCCGGGUUGCGGACAGUGUCUGGUGGGUAGUUUGACUGGGGCGGUCUCCUCCUAAAGAGUAACGGAGGAGCACGAAGGUUGGCUAAUCCUGGUCGGACAUCAGGAGGUUAGUGCAAUGGCAUAAGCCAGCUUGACUGCGAGCGUGACGGCGCGAGCAGGUGCGAAAGCAGGUCAUAGUGAUCCGGUGGUUCUGAAUGGAAGGGCCAUCGCUCAACGGAUAAAAGGUACUCCGGGGAUAACAGGCUGAUACCGCCCAAGAGUUCAUAUCGACGGCGGUGUUUGGCACCUCGAUGUCGGCUCAUCACAUCCUGGGGCUGAAGUAGGUCCCAAGGGUAUGGCUGUUCGCCAUUUAAAGUGGUACGCGAGCUGGGUUUAGAACGUCGUGAGACAGUUCGGUCCCUAUCUGCCGUGGGCGCUGGAGAACUGAGGGGGGCUGCUCCUAGUACGAGAGGACCGGAGUGGACGCAUCACUGGUGUUCGGGUUGUCAUGCCAAUGGCACUGCCCGGUAGCUAAAUGCGGAAGAGAUAAGUGCUGAAAGCAUCUAAGCACG